rnacentral:rRNA from 1 species
UACGUAGGGUCCGAGCGUUGUCCGGAGUUACUGGGCGUAAAGCGCGCGCAGGCGGCUCGUCAAGUCUGGCGUGAAAGCCCCCCGGCUCAACCGGGGGAGGGUCGUCGGAGACUGGCGAGCUUGAGGGCGGUAGGGGCUGGUGGAAUUCCCGGUGUAGUGGUGAAAUACGUAGAGAUCGGGAGGAACACCGGUGGCGAAGGCGGCUCUCUGGGCCUUACCUGACGCUGAGGAGCGAAAGCGUGGGUAGCGAACAGG